rnacentral:rRNA from 1 species
UACGGGGGGGGCAAGCGUUGUUCGGAAUUACUGGGCGUAAAGGGCUCGUAGGCGGCCAACUAAGUCGGACGUGAAAUCCCUCAGCUUAACUGGGAACUGCGUCUGAUACUGGAUGGCUUGGAUUCGGGAGAGGGAUGCGGAAUUCCAGGUGUAGCGGUGAAAUGCGUAGAUAUCUGGAGGAACACCGGUGGCGAAGGCGGCAUCCUGGACCGAUAUUGACGCUGAGGAGCGAAAGCCAGGGGAGCAAAGCGGG